rnacentral:lncRNA from 1 species
UGAUAAAUUAAGAAUUAGCAAUAUACAGAAAUAUAUAUGAAACCAAAAUAACUAAUGAAAGAAAAGGUGCCUGUAAUCCCAGCACUUUGGGAGGCAGAGGCAGGCAGAUCAUUUGAAUCCUGGAGUUUGAGACCAGUAGUGAGACCUCAUCUCUACAAAAAAAACCCAGAAAAAUUAGCUGGGUGUAGCGGUGCAUGCCUGUAUUUCCAGCUACUUCAGAGGCUGAGGCAGGAGAAUCAGUUGAGCCCAGAAGGUGGAAGCUACAGUGAGCCAACAGAGUGAGACCAGCUCAAAAAAAAAAAAAAAAAAAAAAAAAAAAGAAGAAGAAAGGAAGGGAAGGGAGGGAGGGAAGGAGAGGGGUGGGAGGGGGAGGAGGAAGAGGAGGAGGAGAGAGGGAGGGAGAGGAGAAGGAUAAAAUGUUACAAGUGGUUGUUACUAGGAAUGGGGAGAAGAGAAGUGGGUAAUGGCACUGAAGCUUUUUAUUAUGUCUUUCAGCAUUCUUAAACCAUCAACAGAUCUGAGUAUGUAGACUAAAAGGGAAUAUUUGGCGAAGAGAUCUUUUUUUCACUAUGUACACUUGCUAUGGACAUGUUCAUGCCUGCUGCCUGGCAGGCACCAUUCAUUAAGUAGGCCCCUGUUGCCAGGGAAACCAGCUCUUCACUGAUACCAAAGAUAAUGCAGAAGCCUGCUGCUCACCAAGCAACCUUCCUCAUGAGCUAUUUCCUCAUGAGCUAUGACCUCACCUUUCUGAACUGUCUCUUGCCCCUGUGUGAUACUGUCCUGCUGCACAAAGCUUACACUUGCUAUCUCUCACUUCCUUCUUAGUCACCUGUGAUGCUGGCUAAGGGAGCUAGGCCAGUCAGCAGUGACCUGUUGCCCUUGGUUUAUUAUAAGCAACCUGUUCACAAGAAAUGAUCUUCUGUUGUUUUAUAAAUUAUAUGCAUCACAGCACACAGAAUAACAUCAAAACCACAUUAGUUUUUUCAUACUUUCUUCACUGACCCCAGGGGAAGAGGGGAGAGCAGGGAGAGGACUUUCUCUUUUUUCAAAUACUAAUUUUGUUGAGGUAUAAAGAACAUAUAGCAAGUUCACAGACCUUAAGUAUACAGUUUGAUGAGUUUUGGCAAAUAUAUAUACCUGUGGAACCAACAUCCCAGUCAAGAUAUAAAUACUUACAUCAGCUGGGCACGGUGGCUCAUAACUGUAAUCCUAGCACUUUUGGAGGCCAAGGCAGGCAGAUCAUGAGGUCAGGAGAUCAAGGCCAUCCUGGCUGUCUACUAAAAAUACAAAAAAUUAACUGGGAGUGGCAGUAGGCACCUGUAAUCACAGCUACUUGGGAGGCUGAGGCAGGAAAAUCUCUUGAACCCGGGAGGCAGAGGUUGCAUUGAGCUGAGAUAGCCCCACUGCACUCCAGCUCGGGCAACAGAGCGAGACUCCGUCUCACAAAAAAAAAAAAAAAAAAAAAAAAAA